GACGAACGCUGGCGGCGUGCUUAACACAUGCAAGUCGAACGGUGACCCAGGGCUUGCCCUGGUGAUCAGUGGCGAACGGGUGAGUAACACGUGGGGCAACCUGCCCCUGACUUCGGGAUAACUCCUCGAAAGAGGAGCUAAUACCGGAUACGACCACUUCGGACAUCCGAUGGUGGUGGAAAGUUUUUCGGUCAGGGAUGGGCCCGCGGCCUAUCAGCUAGUUGGUGGGGUAAUGGCCUACCAAGGCGACGACGGGUAGCCGGCCUGAGAGGGCGACCGGCCACACUGGGACUGAGACACGGCCCAGACUCCUACGGGAGGCAGCAGUGGGGAAUAUUGCGCAAUGGGCGAAAGCCUGACGCAGCGACGCCGCGUGAGGGAUGAAGGCCUUC
rnacentral:rRNA from 1 species